CAACACCUAAUAUACGAAAUCAACAUACCACCCUCUUCCUUGCAUUUCCCUAAGUGUGAAUCCGAUGUUCGUUUUUCACGAUUCUUCACCUGUAAAAUAAAUCGAAACCAAACAUAUAAGAAACUUAACUAACAAAAUGUAAAAGUAAAUUCCAAACACCUGGAAUCAAAGCCCUAGGGGUUGGGGGAUUUGAUUCCCCUAACUAAAACCUACAUUUUGGUAACGAGAUUGAAGCUAAUAACAAAAGAAAAGGAAAACUCACUGGUGAAGAAGACGUAGAAGGACACGAACUCCAGGGUUGACUUAGUGAUGUGAAAUGUUUGCUUAGGCUUGGAAUCAAGAUGUUUGGAAUGACACAUGAAGAAAACCAAGGUUACUUACAAGUGAAGAAAUUUGGCCAUGAAGUUGAAAAUGAGGAUGAAAGCAUGAAGAACGAAGUCAACUAUAGGUAAAAAUCAUUUUUUUUUGUGAUUUCUUGUAUGAACAUUGUAACAUGAUAUGUAUGAACUCCAUGAAAGUUUUUGAAUGAGAAAAGUUCUUAUGAUCAAUGAAACAUGCUUUAAAUUCAAAU